CAAGCCCUGGAAACGGGGUCUAAUACCGGAUGUGACCACUGGCCGCAUGGUCUGGUGGUGAAAAGCUCCGGCGGUGCAGGAUGAGCCCGCGGCCUAUCAGCUUGUUGGUGGGGUGAUGGCCUACCAAGGCGACGACGGGUAGCCGGCCUGAGAGGGCGACCGGCCACACUGGGACUGAGACACGGCCCAGACUCCUACGGGAGGCAGCAGUGGGGAAUAUUGCACAAUGGGCGCAAGCCUGAUGCAGCGACGCCGCGUGAGGGAUGACGGCCUUCGGGUUGUAAACCUCUUUCAGCAGGGAAGAAGCCGUAAAACGUGACGGUACCUGCAGAAGAAGCACCGGCUAACUACGUGCCAGCAGCCGCGGUAAUACGUAGGGUGCGAGCGUUGUCCGGAAUUAUUGGGCGUAAAGAGCUCGUAGGCGGCUUGUCGCGUCGGAUGUGAAAGCCCGGGGCUUAACCCCGGGUUGGCAUUCGAUACGGGCAGGCUAGAGUUCGGUAGGGGAGAUCGGAAUUCCUGGUGC
rnacentral:rRNA from 1 species